AUACGUAGGGUGCGAGCGUUGUCCGGAAUUACUGGGCGUAAAGAGCUCGUAGGUGGUUUGUCGCGUCGUCUGUGAAAUUCCGGGGCUUAACUCCGGGCGUGCAGGCGAUACGGGCAUAACUUGAGUACUGUAGGGGAGACUGGAAUUCCUGGUGUAGCGGUGAAAUGCGCAGAUAUCAGGAGGAACACCGGUGGCGAAGGCGGGUCUCUGGGCUGUAACUGACGCUGAGGAGCGAAAGCAUGGGUAGCGAACAGGAUUAGAUACCCUGGCAGUCCAUGCCGUAAACGGUGGGCGCUAGGUGUAGGGGUCUUCCACGACUUCUGUGCCGUAGCUAACGCAUUAAGCGCCCCGCCUGGGGAGUACGGCCGCAAGGCUAAAACUCAAAUGAAUUGACGGGG
rnacentral:rRNA from 1 species